rnacentral:tRNA from 5 species
GCCCGAGUGGCGGAAUUGGUAGACGCACUGCACUCAAAAUGCAGCGAUGAAAAUCGUGCGGGUUCGAGUCCCGCCUCGGGCA